CCCCCCCCCCCCAUGACGUAUCUGGUCCAUGGUCGUUGGCAGGUCGGGUGUGACAUCGACCAGAGUGACAGCAAUGGACCCAAAACGAUAUGGCAACACAUUGGUGUUUAUUCCUUUGAUAGCAAUAGUAAGCCAUUUUUUAUCGAUCUUCUAUAAUUAACGCUUAUACUUCCGUGAAAGUUCGAUUUAAAUUGUGUUUAAAAAGGUAAACUGAAAGUAGACUGAGGGUAUAAAACUGACACAACAAUAUCGUGUGAUAUAAAACACUGGCCAGUCUGAGAACAGCAGACCAACUUGAGAGUGUUGUGGUGAAGUUAUAAUCAGGUUUGUUUUGGCUCAGCGUGAGAUAACUUGGCAGAUUUAACGUGCAACACAUGGAUCCAGAUACAGACUAUUCCGAACUGAUAUUUGGAUUAUUUAAAUGCCCAAAAUGUCAAAAAAAUAUUUGGAGAUUUUCGUAUGUUUACGUCAUUAAAGACGUCAUUGAAGACGUCAAUAAAGACGUCAUUAAAGAGACACAGAAGUUUCAGACGCAGAAGUGCUCUCGCUGUGUGCUCACGAAGCAACUUAAAGAGUUGAGUAAAUACCAUCCCCUGAAGGUCAAGGUAUCCCGAUGAGUUCCGCUACCCUAAUAAGAACAGCUUUAUGUAGAGGCCAGGUUAGCCAGCUAUAUGGAGAGAGGAAAUUAAGUGCCACGGCCAAAAGACGCAAUAUAUUUUAGAUUAAAUGUGUUAGUAACAUUAAUUUGUUAAGUGUGAAAAAUAUACAAUUAUUUGACAUGUUUACGUGCAUUGAGAACAAAAUGGCCUGUGUAACUCAGCACAUUCAGAGAUUAUUCAAAUGCAAGCAAUAAGUUAACACAUUUAAUGGCAUGGCUACUAUAUUGUCGCAUACUAUUAUUUGACAUUGAUUUAACUUUAUAUGUUAAAGUUUGUAACCUAUAGAAAACAUAAAUUAUUACGUUUUUGCUAUCCUUUUAAUAAGUCACAUUAAUUGUUUAUUUGUAAAUGCUUGGUCAAAUCUUGUAAGUUUUCAUAUAUUUCUACUAGAAUGUUUGACAGUUCCCCAAGAUACCCCUGCCUUUGUCAGUUGCUUCCCCGCUGUGUGUCUCCACGUCUCCCUUGGUCUUCCCUGUUUUCUCAGAUAAUAAAUUAUUUAAAAUAAUGAAAGGUUAGGUUACUUAUUACAACAAAACUAAGGUGAAAUAGCAAGGUUCUAGCGAUCGGUUAGCUCACGAAUAUUUUUAAAUAACCUUUUUUUAACCGAGGUUAAAAAUCCGCUCAAAUUACUAAAAAAAUACUUUAUUUAUAUAUAAUUACUCAUAAUACAUGAUGUAUACGUUGAAAGACACACUGAAGUUUUAAGUUCAAGCUCUGAAAACCUUCCACAUCAACACAUCAACACAUCAAUAUAUAAACACAUCAACACAUCAACACAUCAAAACAUCAACACAUCAAAACAUCAACACAUCUACACUGACAACAACGACGUUCAGAAUUUUAUGUUUAACAAUACGUGACUAUUUAUAUCAAGUUUUCUUGUUAUUUUGUGGAAUACUCUAUAUUUGUAUUUAAAUUACGAUUUUCAUUAAACCUCAAUGUGGUAUACUUAUAUCUUAGAAUAUCUUUGAACUAGACAUUGGUACCCGUUACACGUGACUUAUAGGCCUGUAUUUUUUUAAAUGUUAUACUUGUUUGAGAAAUUUAUUUUAUAAAAUAGUUAUUGGUCAAAACGCAAUGUGCUUUACUACACGCUGAACGAUAUUAUUGACAAAGAAAAGAAAUAACUAAACAGCUAAAAAUCCGACAUAUUUAAUAAUAGGCUACCAAUACCUAUUAGAUUAAUUAAAACCAAAUUAUAUACGUUAUUAGUCAACACAAAACCAUAUUACUUGCCCACACUGAUAAAGUGACAUUUUUAAAUAUGUUUAUGCCGAGAAAAUUGUAUCUCAUAGCGUUAGUCUUGAUAACUAGAUCUAUAGAUCUAAAUCAAUUUGAAUGGACUAGUUCAUUUCUUUAAAUUCUAAAAUUAGAAAAUGCUGGAACUGAAUCUUAUUGAAGAUGACGUCAUUAGUAUUGUGUAUCAUUUUCGACAUUCGAUUUUUAACUCUAUUUUUUAUCGUAUAAUUAAUGACGCCAUUAGUGUUGUGUACUUUCCAUAAACGUUUUAUUCACAUUGUUUCAUAAUGAUAUUUUUCUAUUUGUUUUAUGUGACGUCAUUCUUUUUGCCAGUGAUAGUUUUUGUGCUACUAAAUGUUCUCUAGAGGGUUGUUUUCACAACCAUAAACACUUCUCCGAUCGCAUAAUUAAAGUUGUGUUUCUACAUUCGAAUAUUCCUUUAUUUCUAGUUUCCGUCGUUAAAUAAAAUUUAGCGUAUACAUUUAAUAUACACAACAUACUAUUUUCAAAAAAAUCCGUAUCUUUAAGAUAUUCAUAUGCUGAAGAUACUUUUCUUAUAGGCUCGGAAAAUAUGUGACGGACAGAGAUAGAGAGAAAUGCGAACAUUGCUUUUAUAAUUAGGAUCGAUCAUUGUAAUAAAAAAAUGAUUAUUAAACAAAGAGUAAAUAAACUUUAAGACCUUAUCUUGAUUUUAUUUUGUGAUUACUUUGGAGGCAGCUUAAUUCACCCCCUCCAAAAUUUGUUU